rnacentral:rRNA from 1 species
GAUGAACGCUGGCGGCGUGCCUAACACAUGCAAGUCGAACGGAGUCGUUUUGGAAAUCUCUUCGGAGAUGGAAUUCUCGACUUAGUGGCGGACGGGUGAGUAACGCGUGAGCAAUCUGCCUUUAAGAGGGGGAUAACAGUCGGAAACGGCUGCUAAUACCGCAUAAAGCAUUAAAUUCGCAUGUUUUUGAUGCCAAAGGAGCAAUCCGCUUUUAGAUGAGCUCGCGUCUGAUUAGCUAGUUGGCGGGGUAACGGCCCACCAAGGCGACGAUCAGUAGCCGGACUGAGGGGGUGAACGGCCACAUUGGGGCCGAGACACCGCCCAGACUCCCACGGGAGGGAGGAGGGGGGAAUAUUGCGCAAUGGGGGAAACCCUGACGCAGCAACGCCGCGUGAUGGAAGAAGGCCUUCGGGGUGUAAAGAUCUUUAAUCAGGGACGAAACAAAUGACGGUACCUGAAGAAUAAGCUCCGGCUAACUACGUG